rnacentral:tRNA from 1 species
GGGUCUGUGGGGUAGCUUGGUAUCCUUGCAGCUUGGGGUGCUGUUGACCCCGGUUCAAAUCCGGGCAGACCCA